rnacentral:snRNA from 1 species
ACACCUUUCUCGGCCUUUUGGCUAAGAUCAAGUGUAGUAUCUGUUCUCGUCAGUUUAAUAUCUGAUACGCGGGCCAUGUGCUCGCCUCGAUAUUAAAUUCAUUUUUCUGUGGGGGAGGGCCUGCCCCACAGCAGCUUGCUGCUGGGGCCCUCACGCGUCACCCAGGCGUUGCACUACCGCGCGGGCCUGGCGCAUCCCUA